rnacentral:rRNA from 1 species
GAGUUUGAUCUUGGCUCAGAUUGAACGCUGGCGGCAUGCCUUACACAUGCAAGUCGAACGGCAGCACGGGAGCUUGCUCCUGGUGGCGAGUGGCGAACGGGUGAGUAAUGCAUCGGAACGUAUCCUGGAGUGGGGGAUAACGUAGCGAAAGUUACGCUAAUACCGCAUAUUCUGUGAGCAGGAAAGCGGGGGACCUUCGGGCCUCGCGCUCUUGGAGCGGCCGAUGUCGGAUUAGCUAGUUGGUGAGGUAAAGGCUCACCAAGGCGACGAUCCGUAGCAGGUCUGAGAGGAUGAUCUGCCACACUGGAACUGAGACACGGUCCAGACUCCUACGGGAGGCAGCAGCGGGAAUUUGGACAAUGGGGCAACCCUGAUCCAGCCAUGCCGCGUGAGUGAAGAAGGCC